UCCUUUUUUAGUACUGAAUACUUCUAUAUCCCUAUAGAAUUUUUUAUGUUAAGAUAAGUAACAAGAACCCCUUUCUCUUCCAAUGUGAGCAUAUAACCCAAAUAACACACGAACUAAAUGUAACUGCCCUCACCCCGCCCGAAAACCCUACAACCUACCUCCUGUUAACCUAAUACAAGAACAUUUCAAGAAAGAUUAAAAGAAAAAGAAGGAACUCGGCAAACUAUGAUUCCGCCUGUUUACCAAAAACAUCGCCUCUUGCAAAAUAUAAGAGGUCCCGUCUGCCCAGUGACUUAGUUCAACGGCCACGGUAUCCUGACCGUGCGAAGGUAGCGUAAUCACCUGUUUUUUAAUUAAAGACCUGUAUGAAUGACUACACGAGAAUCACACUGUCUCCUCUCUCCAAUCAGUGAAACUAAUCUCCUCGUGCAAAAGCGAGCAUUAUCAUAUAAGACGAAAAGACCCUGUGGAGCUUCAAACACCCAACAUCUAUUAUAUCUACCCCCCGCAUCCACUCCCAUAUAAUACUAUGAUUGUAAGUUUUAGGUUGGGGUGACCAUGGAGCAUAACCUAACCUCCAAAAUGAACCAAAGUUUUCUUUAAUUCAGAACCACAAUUCCGCACAUCAAAACACUGACAUAAAUUGACCCUUCUUGAUCAAUGAACCAAGUUACCCCAGGGAUAACAGCGCAAUCUACUUUAAGAGCACGUAUCGACAAGUAGGCUUACGACCUCGAUGUUGGAUCAGGG
rnacentral:rRNA from 1 species